rnacentral:rRNA from 1 species
GAUGAACGCUAGCUACAGGCUUAACACAUGCAAGUCGAGGGGCAGCAUGACGAUUGCUUGCAAUUGUCGAUGGCGACCGGCGCACGGGUGAGUAACGCGUAUCCAACCUUCCCCUUAGUAGGGCAUAGCCCGGCGAAAGUCGGAUUAACACCCUAUGUUAUUCGUCGAGGACAUCUGAAGUGAAUCAAAGGUUUACCGCUAAGGGAUGGGGAUGCGUCUGAUUAGGUAGUCGGCGGGGUAACGGCCCACCGAGCCAUCGAUCAGUAGGGGUUCUGAGAGGAAGGUCCCCCACACUGGUACUGAGGCACGGACCAGACUCCUACGGGAGGCAGCAGUGAGGAAUAUUGGUCAAUGGGCGCGAGCCUGAACCAGCCAAGUAGCGUGCAGGAUGACGGCCCUACGGGUUGUAAACUGCUUUUAUGCGGGGAUAAAGUGGCCUACGUGUAGGUUAUUGCAGGUACCCCAUGAAUAAGGACCGGCUAAUUCCGUGCCACCAGCCCCGGUAAUACAGAAGGUCCGGGCGUUAUCCGGAUUUAUUGGGUUUAAAGGGAGCCCACGCCGAUGGUUAAACGUGACGUGAAAUGUACCCCCUCAACGGCUGAACUGCCUCCCCGAACUGGCUAUUUUGAAAUGGGUACAACCUCCCCGGAAUUCCUGGUGUAACGGGUGGAAAUGCUUUAAGAUUAUCACGAAAAAAACCCCCGAUUUGGCCAAAGGCACUUGGCGAAGUCCUUUAAAUUGACCCUUAAAGCUUCAAAGGUGCCGGGUAUCGAAAAGGAAUUUAAAUACCCCUGGUAGUUCCCCACGGUAAAAAAAUGGAUGCCCGCUUGUUGGCGAUACAAUGUCAGCGGCCAAGAGAAAGCGUUAAGCAUUCCCACCUGGGGAGUACGCCGGCAACGGUGAAACUCAAAGGAAUUGACGGGGGCCCGCACAAGCGGAGGAACAUGUGGUUUAAUUCGAUGAUACGCGAGGAACCUUACCCGGGCUUGAACUGCAGCAGAACGAUUCAGAGAUGAUGAGGCCCUUCGGGGCUGCUGUGGAGGUGCUGCAUGGUUGUCGUCAGCUCGUGCCGUGAGGUGUCGGCUUAAGUGCCAUAACGAGCGCAACCCCUCUCGCCAGUUGCCAUCAGGUCAUGCUGGGCACUCUGGGGACACUGCCACCGUAAGGUGUGAGGAAGGUGGGGAUGACGUCAAAUCAGCACGGCCCUUACGUCCGGGGCUACACACGUGUUACAAUGGGUGGUACAGAGAGUCAGCGCAUCGCAAGUUGCGUUCAAUCAUGAAAGCCAUCCUCAGUUCGGACUGGGGUCUGCAACCCGACCCCACGAAGCUGGAUUCGCUAGUAAUCGCGCAUCAGCCAUGGCGCGGUGAAUACGUUCCCGGGCCUUGUACACACCGCCCGUCAAGCCAUGAAAGCCUGGGGCGCCUGAAGUCCGUGACCGCGAGGGUCGGCCUAGGGUGAAACAGGUGAUUGGGGC